rnacentral:rRNA from 1 species
AUUGAACGCUGGCGGCAGGCUUAACACAUGCAAGUCGAACGAGUGGCGGACGGGUGAGUAAUGUCUGGGAAACUGCCUGAUGGAGGGGGAUAACUACUGGAAACGGUAGCUAAUACCGCAUACCAUCAGAUGUGCCCAGGUGGGAUUAGGUUGUUGGUGGGGUAACGGCUCACCAAGGCGACGAUCCCUAGCUGGUCUGAGAGGAUGACCAGCCACACGGGAACUGAGCCACGGCCCAGACUCCUACGAGAGGCAGCAGUGGGGAAUAUUGCGCAAUGGGGGCAACCCUGACGCAGCCAUGCCGCGUGUAUGAAGAAGGCCUUCGGGUUGUAAAGUACUUUCGGCAGCGAGGCGUUACCUGCAGAAGAAGCACCGGCUAACUCCGUGCCAGCAGCCGCGGUAAUAC